GCCAGGUGUGGUGGCGCAGGCCUGUCAUCCCAGCAGCAUAGGAGGCUGAGUUGGGAGGAUUGCAAGUUCAAAGCCAGCCUCAGCAACUUAGUGAGGACUUAAGCAACUUAGCAAGAACCUGUCUUCA
rnacentral:sRNA from 1 species